rnacentral:lncRNA from 1 species
CUCCUUGUAAAUUAGCACUGACAAAUUUUGUUUGUCAUCAAAUGUUCUUUCUUCUCUUCAAAAUAUGUUGAAUGAUCCUAACAGACAUAGUCCAGUGCUAUCAGGUUGCAUACCAAGCGAUAAAAAUACCCUGAAUUUAAGUUAAAGUUUGCAAUUACAGGGAAGAGGGAGAGGUUAAAGUGAGGGCUAAGAGCUACCUUUCUUUGGGUUCUUUCUUCACGGGAAACCAGUCUGUUGCAGCCAUGGCGGAGGUGUUAUUUUGUUAUUUUUUCCCUUCACUUUGAUGAUCAGCUACCAAACCUGACCCUCCCCAUUUCCCAGAAAUUAAUUCUUUUAAAGAAGAGAUUUU